UCUGUAGACUGAAGUGCCUGGGGGACAACUCACAAGACCGAAGGGUUGAGAAGAUGACUGCUUCCAGAAGUGGCAUCCAGUUUGCCUGGCAGACUCCCCAGCAAUAAGACUGAAGUGACCAGGAGCAACUCACAGACUCAAGAGGGAUGAGAAGAUGACUGCUUCCAGCAGGGGCAUCCUGUGGCCUGGCUGAUUUCCCAGCAACAAGCUUCUCCUGAUGAUCGCACCUGCCCCAUGACAAGAUACCAGAACGACGAUGGUGGUGAUAGAAGAACUGUCAUCAGCAUUGCUGCCCUGGGGACAAAGUCAUCACAUACACACUAAGUGAAGAAGUCAGUAGUGUGCUUAAUGAGUUUUGUGAGGACACGUACCUCCCUUGAACACGAGGACAAAAGCCUAGAAGGUUCCAAGGCUGCCAGGUGCUCACAGCCUGCAGGGAACAGCUGGUUCAGACCUAGUCCCCAUGUCUGCCAGCCUCCCAGACCUGCUGGCCUCGUGGAUUGACCAGUCAUGGGUCCAGCCUGGGGGUCCAGCCCGCUGAGCACCCAGCGAUGUGGUCUGAUCAGUGGUGCGCUGAGGGGAGAGGUCGUUCUCAUAUGGAGCUGCCAAAGGGGAGCCCUGGAGGCCGAAUGAUACCUCUUAACUCCCUGAGGAUUUAUUGCAUCAACAAGGACAGAAUGACAGCUCCAGUCCAAGCCCUGCCCCUUGGAGGAUGUGUGUCCUUGGGAAAGUCACUGUGAAUGGGAAUAAUAAUGCUCACUCUGGAGACAUCCUCCACCAUGGGCCUGGGAUGGGUCAAGUUUAUUCCUUUGUAAAUAAAUAUUUUUUGUGAACUCACAUACAAUGUGAUUCGUUAACCAUUUGUUCCUUAUAAUAAUGUACAAACAUGGUUAUAACAACCACAUUUGAUACAUCAGCAAUUUGGAAUCUUAAAACUUUUCAUUUGCUCAAAGUAAUGUAAGUAAUGAAGCCUUGAUUCAAACUCAACUCUAAUAAAGUCCAAA